rnacentral:rRNA from 1 species
CCGUUCAGGGGUAAACCUGAGAAACCCAAAAGAUCGAAUGAGGAGAUUCAUCGUCAGCUCAUUUUGUAUAUGUACAAGUUAUGAUGUGAGUUACUCNUUGUAGUAUUGCUUGUACGUACUUGUGCAUUUAUUUGCAAGAUGUUGUCGGCGUGCACUUCUCCUCUAGUAGGACNUCGCGACCCGUUGGGUGUCGGUCUACGACCCGAGUNGGGAGACUUNUAAUAUUUUNAUAAUAUUAAAGACCCUUGGUGUUUUCUGACCGACUGCCCGGCGGUACUCGUAC